GACCUACGGGGGGCAGCAGUGGGGAAUAUUGGGCAAUGGGCGCAAGCCUGACCCAGCAACGCCGCGUGAAGGAAGAAGGCUUUCGGGUUGUAAACUUCUUUUAUGAGGGACGAAACAAAUGACGGUACCUCAUGAAUAAGCCACGGCUAACUACGUGCCAGCAGCCGCGGUAAUACGUAGGUGGCAAGCGUUAUCCGGAUUUACUGGGUGUAAAGGGCGUGUAGGCGGGACU
rnacentral:rRNA from 1 species